AUGUUCUAACGUGGGCCCCUAAUCGGGGUUGCGGACAGUGUCUGGUGGGUAGUUUGACUGGGGCGGUCUCCUCCUAAAGAGUAACGGAGGAGCACGAAGGUUGGCUAAUCCUGGUCGGACAUCAGGAGGUUAGUGCAAUGGCAUAAGCCAGCUUGACUGCGAGCGUGACGGCGCGAGCAGGUGCGAAAGCAGGUCAUAGUGAUCCGGUGGUUCUGAAUGGAAGGGCCAUCGCUCAACGGAUAAAAGGUACUCCGGGGAUAACAGGCUGAUACCGCCCAAGAGUUCAUAUCGACGGCGGUGUUUGGCACCUCGAUGUCGGCUCAUCACAUCCUGGGGCUGAAGUAGGUCCCAAGGGUAUGGCUGUUCGCCAUUUAAAGUGGUACGCGAGCUGGGUUUAGAACGUCGUGAGACAGUUCGGUCCCUAUCUGCCGUGGGCGCUGGAGAACUGAGGGGGGCUGCUCCUAGUACGAGAGGACCGGAGUGGACGCAUCACUGGUGUUCGGGUUGUCAUGCCAAUGGCACUGCCCGGUAGCUAAAUGCGGAAGAGAUAAGUGCUGAAAGCAUCUAAGCACGAAACUUGC
rnacentral:rRNA from 1 species